rnacentral:rRNA from 1 species
CGCCAGAGAUGAUAAUGACAGUAUCUGGUAAAGAAACCCCGGCUAACUCCGUGCCAGCAGCCGCGGUAAUACGGAGGGGGUUAGCGUUGUUCGGAAUUACUGGGCGUAAAGCGCACGUAGGCGGAUUAGUAAGUUAGAGGUGAAAUCCCAGGGCUCAACCCUGGAACUGCCUUUAAUACUGCUAGUCUUGAGUUCGAGAGAGGUAAGUGGAAUUCCGAGUGUAGAGGUGAAAUUCGUAGAUAUUCGGAGGAACACCAGUGGCGAAGGCGGCUUACUGGCUCGAUACUGACGCUGAGGUGCGAAAGUGUGGGGAGCAAACAGGAUUAGAUACCCUGGUAGUCCACACCGUAAACGAUGAAUGCCAGACGUCAGCAAGUAUACUUGUUGGUGUCACACCUAACGGAUUAAGCAUUCCGCCUGGGGAGUACGGUCGCAAGAUUAAAACUCAAAGGAAUUGACGGGGGCCCGCACAAGCGGUGGAGCAUGUGGUUUAAUUCGACGCAACGCGCAGAACCUUACCAACCCUUGA